rnacentral:lncRNA from 12 species
CAGGAAGCAAUUGAAGGCUAGGCUGAACUCUUCACUGAAGUGAUAAAAAGCCUUUACUGGUGAAUUUUUGUUAUGCUUCAAUUACUUGCAUUUCAAUUACACUUUCUCUAAUACCAGAUCUCCUCGUCAUCCUGUUAAACACACAUUCAAUAGCUGUCCUUUUCUUAUUAACCAUGCACUGGAAAAAGCAAAAUAUUUCCUCAAAGGCCUGUAGAGAAUAUUCUUGGAACCCACUGCAACCUUAUUGCUUGGGGAAGAUUUAGUCUAAAGAUACCUGUACUUCAUCUCCCUGAAUCAAAAGCAGCUGUUGAGUAUAUGCAAAGUGAGCAGAACAUUUGGAGAAGGCAGUAACCUGUCAAUCAAGUGAAAGAAGUGUGUCCAAAAGGAGGACAUAAUCAAUUCUUCAAAAACUG